GGUGCAACGGCGGCUAAUGGCGUCGGGUUGAGGCUGCGGGUUCGAUUCCCGCUUGCACCA
rnacentral:tRNA from 1 species